GACGAACCGAGCGAACGUUGUUCGGCAUCACUGGGCUUAAAGGGCGCGUAGGCGGCUCCAAAAGUCAGGGGUGAAAUCCGGCAGCUUAACUGUCGCAGUGCCUUUGAUACUGUGGAGCUAGAGGGAGGUAGGGGUCUGUGGAACUUCCGGUGGAGCGGUGAAAUGCGUUGAUAUCGGAAGGAACGCCGGUGGCGAAAGCGACGGACUGGAUCUCUUCUGACGCUGAGGCGCGAAAGCCAGGGGAGCAAACGGG
rnacentral:rRNA from 1 species